CUUCGAUCGAGUAAACAUACGGUUGGCUGUGGGCAUAUACCUGAAACACAAAGCUGAUGGCUCUAUCGAGAGGACUCGUCUUGUGGCAAAAGUUGCAGCAUAGAUCUUGGAGACAACAUUAGCUCGAUGUCAAAAAGGCCUUUCUUCAUGGAGACCUACACGAAUUGGUUUCUGUCCGUCCUCCAUCUGGGUUUCGAGCUCAAGGGGAGAAAGGGAAAGUUUGAAGGUGAAAAAAGACGAUAUCUUAACGUGAAGUCAUUGCAGAUUCAGGGAUUUCCAUGCCAUGGAUUCUUAUCAUCUACAGAAAGUUCUUCAGCCUUCAACGUGCUUCAAGUUUCAAGUCAAGGCAGGUUAUGGUAAGCAGCCAAAUAAUGGGAAACUCAACCAUCUAGAUGAGCAACUAAUCUGGGUCAGCCUUGAUGCACAUGUCCAACAGGAAGUGUAGGCCCUCUUUUUUUAUGGGAUUCUGUCGCAUGAUCUGCUGCAAAACGAAAAACACCUUGAAUUCUUGCACUCACCAUUACUUCUUGAAUUCUUGCACUCACCAUUACUUUUAUAAUUCUCGACCUUUAAAUGCCCUAAUAAAUAGGCACAAGUCAUUGAUUCUAAUCCGAGAAAGGUGCUAUAUUUUCUAC